rnacentral:rRNA from 1 species
CCUACGGGUGGCAGCAGUGAGGAAUAUUGGUCAAUGGACGAGAGUCUGAACCAGCCAAGUAGCGUGAAGGAUGACUGCCCUAUGGGUUGUAAACUUCUUUUAUAUGGGAAUAAAACAGGGUAUGCAUACCCUCUUGUAUGUACCAUAUGAAUAAGGAUCGGCUAACUCCGUGCCAGCAGCCGCGGUAAUACGGAGGAUCCGAGCGUUAUCCGGAUUUGUUGGGUUUAAAGGGAGCGUAGGUGGAUUGUUAAGUCAGUUGUGAAAGUUUGCGGCUCAACCGUAAAAUUGCAGUUGAAACUGGCAGUCUUGAGUACAGUAGAGGUGGGCGGAAUUCGUGGUGUAGCGGUGAAAUGCUUAGAUAGCACGAAGAACUCCGAUUGCGAAGGCAGCUUACUGGACUGCAACUGACACUGAUGCUCGAAAGUGUGGGUAUCAAACAGGAUUAGAUACCCUGGUAGUC